rnacentral:lncRNA from 1 species
AUUAGAAAUUCAGAUAGUCAGUCCGACACCAAAGCACAGUGAGUUGCUUGCAAGUCACUAUGAUGAUCUGAGAUCUGAAGAACACUUAUAACUAUAUAUUUCACGAGCAGUUCUUGACAGCAGAAUGCUCAGUAGGUGAGUUACUUGUUCAGUGAUGAUGUACUCCUACAUCUCAUCUGUAUGCCAUACCAGUGUCACCACACUCCUUGAUUAAGAGGAUAACCAACCCAUAUGGCAC